UGCAGCAUGGCAUAGUGGUUUGAGUGUUGGACUAGGACUCUGGAGACCAGGAUUCGAAUCCCAGUUUGGGUG